rnacentral:rRNA from 1 species
GUGAGGAAUAUUGCGCAAUGGAGGCAACUCUGACGCAGCCAUGCCGCGUGCAGGAAGAAGGCGCUACGCGUUGUAAACUGCUUUUAACCGGGAAGAAACCCCAGGACGUGUCCUGGGUUGACGGUACCGGAGGAAUAAGCACCGGCUAACUUCGUGCCAGCAGCCGCGGUAAUACGAAGGGUGCAAGCGUUAUCCGGAUUCAUUGAGUUUAAAGGGUGCGUAGGCGGAGCGUUAAGUCAGUGGUGAAAUCCUGCAGCUUAACUGUAGACUUGCCAUUGAUACUGGCGCUCUUGAGUGCGCUUGAAGUGGGCGGAAUGUGCCGUGUAGCGGUGAAAUGCUUAGAUAUGGCACAGAACACCAAUUGCGAAGGCAGCUCACUAAGGCGAUACUGACGCUGAGGCACGAAAGCGUGGGGAUCGAACAGGAUUAGAAACCCCAGUAGUCC